GCAGCGGGACCUUCGGGUUGCCGGCGAGCGGCGGACGGGUGAGUAAUGCCUAGGAAUCUGCCUGUUAGUGGGGGAUAACGCGGGGAAACUCGCGCUAAUACCGCAUACGUCCUACGGGAGAAAGUGGGGGACCCUCGGGCCUCACGCUAACAGAUGAGCCUAGGUCGGAUUAGCUAGUUGGUGGGGUAAAGGCCCACCAAGGCGACGAUCCGUAACUGGUCUGAGAGGAUGAUCAGUCACACUGGAACUGAGACACGGUCCAGACUCCUACGGGAGGCAGCAGUGGGGAAUAUUGGACAAUGGGCGAAAGCCUGAUCCAGCCAUGCCGCGUGUGUGAAGAAGGUCUUCGGAUUGUAAAGCACUUUAAGUUGGGAGGAAGGGCGCUCGGUGAAUACCCAAGCGUCUUGACGUUACCGACAGAAUAAGCACCGGCUAACUUCGUGCCAGCAGCCGCGGUAAUACGAAGGGUGCAAGCGUUAAUCGGAAUUACUGGGCGUAAAGCGCGCGUAGGUGGUUCGGCAAGUUGGAUGUGAAAGCCCCGGGCUCAACCUGGGAACCGCAUCCAAAACUACUGGGCUAGAGUACGGUAGAGGGUGGUGGAAUUUCCUGUGUAGCGGUGAAAUGCGUAGAUAUAGGAAGGAACACCAGUGGCGAAGGCGACCACCUGGACCGAUACUGACACUGAGGUGCGAAAGCGUGGGGAGCAAACAGGAUUAGAUACCCUGAUAGUCCACGCCGUAAACGAUGUCGACUAGCCGUUGGGGCUCCCUUGAGA
rnacentral:rRNA from 1 species